CUUGCAUGUUGUGCUCACUUAAAACUUAGUAUUCAGGCACCCACAUUUCCCCUUCUUUCGGCAAAAGUUCUUGUGGGGACACUAACCUGUAAGCACCCUUGAGACUGGCAAGUGGAUGGGGAACGAUUUACCCCAAUUGGAACUAGAGACACUUCCCUCCCAAAAGAAGCUUCAGAGAACAGAGAGCUACUAGAGCCUUCGGUGUUUAAUGGCAACAUGAAAACAAAAACUACAUGCAGAAUGCCAAAUGAAAUCUCACUUCGGGCACAGUUUAAUAACAUGUCAUCUGAGGCCUUAUGAUGAAGGGCAAGAAAGAAAUCAAAGCAACGACUGUCAUCCUGGUAUCACCUACCAACAAGGACAAAGCUGAAGGAGAACUCAGGAAGUUUGAGUCCAUUUAUUUAGACCGUAAUCAAACCAUAAUGGUUACCUCCCCAGUUAUAUCUGCUUAGCAAAGGUUAGAAAAAACCAUGUUAUCAGUGUUGUGAAUUGUCAAUGUGAUUAUCUUAAAUAUGCAGAGCUGACCCGCCCAUGACGCGGGGUGAAGAGCCCACCUCAGGUGGCAGAAGUACCUGCUUGUGCCGCCAAUAGGGAGGUGUUCUGGCAUGUGACGUUGCCAAACAAGUGGCAAAACUUUGAGGAGUGCCCUGGCUUCCACCAAGUUUGGUGAGAGGUGGGAGUGGUGAUGGCGGAAGUGGAGGAGGGGGAGAGGAGGCAAUUCCUGUUUUGCCUCAGGUAGCAAAAUGGGACAGGUCUCCACUGUAAAUACGUUUAAGCUUAACACACAACAGUCACUGUACAUCUUGGUCAUUUGGCCGAAAUGUUUACUAUUUUUCACUUUAUCCAUGCACAUUUGUAUCUGCCAACUGAGAAUAGUACCAAUGCAUGCAUCUGUUGAAGGAGACUCUAGUCGAUAAAAGCUAGGGCUAAAGCUUGUAGCCUUUAGAUGCCACAAUACUGUUGUUUCUUUCUGCAACAGAUUAACAUGGGUACUUGCAUGGAAAACACUAUUACUUUAAUAAGAAUUUGGUCCUUCCUAAUAUAAACCUUAUUAUUUAUAAUAAAUCAACAAAUCAUUAAUACUUA